UAUGGGCAUGAGGAUGAUGUAGAGCACUUACAUAAAUACCAAAAUCAGAUAAAUAUCUCUUCAAAGUUUAUUUUGAGACUUUCUUCAAAAAUUAAACUUCAGACUGUACAGGAUAGCAUAAUAGCAUAGGAGGCGAAUUAAAAAGAAUUGAUUUACUUACAAGAAAAGAUAUCACAAACAUUAAACUCUCUUAUGGCAUUGAUUUGAAAGAUGGGUAUAUGUACAAUGAUGAUGCAACCAGUGUUUAUUUUUGGGUUGAAUGCUUACAGACUCAUGUCCAAUAUUAUUUUACAAACAACAGGGCAUACUAAUGGAUAUUCAUUAUGAAUUUAACAUUUAUGAUUUUUGUCUUAUGUUCCUUAAUACUGUGCCAAAAGUUUGGUAAAUCCUUUAUCGCAAUCGAUGGAACUCAUGGGCUCAAUUCCUAUGACUUUGAACUUAUGACAGUAUUAGUAAAAGAUGAAUUUGGGAAUGGAUUUUGUACUGCUUUCUUAUUUUCAAAUAGAAAAGAUACCUACUUUAAUUUACCAAUUUUUUUAAAUACAUGUCUGUGUUGGUAUUAUAUGUAUAGUCAAAUGUUUUCAUAUCAGGCAUAAGCGACACCUUUUACAAUGCCUCGUCAAAUGUAAUGGGUAUUGCUCCUAAUAGACUGUUAAGUGCCUGGCACAUAAAUAGGGCAUGCUAAGUAAAUCUUAAUAAAAUAUCUGAUUCUGAAAAAAAUCCUAUUAUGUAUACAAGAUGUAUUAAUGAUGGUUUAGAGAGUAUUAAUAGCUUUUUGGGUAGACUUCUAAGUGAUGCAGAUACAUACAAUUUUAGUAAGUAUUUCCAGUAGAACUACUGCAAUAACAUCCAACAAUGGGCCUAUUGUUAUAGGAAGGGGUUGUGGAAUUAAUACCAAUAUGACCAUUCAAAAUUUUCAUAAAAUUUUGGAUAAAAGGGUAUCCAUUAGUUGUUAUCAGUUAAGUUUAAAACUUGGCACUCAUGGAGAGCUAUACCAUAAUAUAUAAUAGGUAUAUCUCAUAAUAUUACAUCUCAUAUUGCUCACUCAUUACAAUAGUGAGCAAUAUGAGAUGUAACAUAUUAUAGUAUAAGUCUCUGUGCAUGACCAGAUUAACAUGUUUGGUGCCCAUCUCGAACAAGCUCCACUUGGCUGGUACCACAUACUUAAAUCAUUUAUUUAGUUACACAGUACUACUCACAUAACUUAUGUGUCGUCAGUACCUUCCGUAAAACCUUCGUGAUGCUACCCAUACGUCAUGGCCACUGAAUGUGUUAAAGCUUGUUAAUGUAGGAGAGUUAUACUAAAAUAUAUAUCUUAUAUUAUAUUGCCUUCAAUAGAAAAAAUAUCUUAUUUAAAUUGUAUCCAUGUAAGUUUUGAUUUAAUGAAAUAAACCUUUUAAUCAAAAAAGUGUUGUUUACUUGUGUACACCUAGCAAUAUCCUGAUCAUAGAUAAAUAAUAUAGUAUUACCGGAUCCUGAUAUGCAGACGCCAAUAGGGCUUUUCAUCGAUUGUCAUUUGUUUCGA